AACGCACAUUGCGCCCUUUGGUAUUCCAAAGGGCAUGCCUGUUCGAGCGUCAUUUGUACCCUCAAGCUCUGCUUGGUGUUGGGCGUCUUUUGUCUUUGGUUGCCAAAGACUCGCCUCAAAACGAUUGGCAGCCGGCCUACUGGUUUCGCAGCGCAGCACAUUUUUGCGCUUGCAAUCAGCAAAAGAGGGCGGCACUCCAUCAAGACUCUUUUAUCACUUUUGACCUCGGAUCAGGUAGGGAUACCCGCUGAACUUAA
rnacentral:misc_RNA from 1 species